AUACUGGUCUUGAUUCAAAACUCAUAGAAGUCAAUGGGAGUCAUUCCAUUGACUUUCACUGAGCUUUGGGUCAGGCCCACUAAU
rnacentral:pre_miRNA from 1 species